rnacentral:lncRNA from 1 species
GGUUGGUGGCAUUAAAGACAAGGUGCUGGCAGCCCAUCGUGCUGGCAUGUGCAAAGUUAUACUGCCUAAGAGAAACAAGAAAGACUUGCAAGAAGUUCCAGCAUCUAUCAAAGAGGACCUGACUUUCUGUUUUGUGACUCACAUUGAAGAAGUUCUCCAGGAGGCUUUUGAAGGUGGCUUUCCUGACCUACCUAGCUCUGUUGAACACGUGUUGAGCAAGCUGUAGCACUCUGUGUGGGACAGCUGGGAGCUUACUCAGUGGUGUGUAUUUCUGCACAGCAGUUAUGACAUCAUACCUUCACUAUGUUAAAACACUGGCAGAGCACUGGCCAUAAGUUUACUGUAUAUUUUUGCUAGGAGUUUAUUUUUUAUACAUAAUAUUAUGUGUAGGUUUGUCACUGACCGUACAACUGCUCUGUUUUCCGUGCCUCUGAACCUUGUUCACUCCAAGAGCUUAUUCCGAGCAGAGGUAAGCUGGUCUGAUAUGUUGUUGUUAACUUUCUACGCACACUUUACUUUGUAUGUUGGAUGCAAGUUUGUGUGAUUUGCUCUGUUGGGUACAAGUUCGUGAAUUUGUACCCUGCCACUUGUAGCUUUUCUGAAAUUCCAGGACUUGUGGCUGUGAGCUGGUGGCCUUGCACAUUGAUAAAUUUGUUACAAAAACUGU